AACCUGCGGAAGGAUCAUUGUCGAUACCUGUCCAAAACAGAACGACCCGCGAACGUGUAACACCAACGUUGCAUCGUUGGGCUGGAGCAAUUGACUCUUCGUGACACUUGUCGGCGCGCGGUGCUUGCACUUGGUGGGCUAACGAACCCCGGCGCGGCAAGCGCCAAGGAAACACAAAUGGAAGCGUUGCUCCCCGUGACUCCCGUUCGCGGUGUGGUUUUGGGGUGUGAUGUAUCUUGAAAGUCAUAAACGACUCUCGGCAACGGAUAUCUCGGCUCGCGCAUCGAUGAAGAACGUAGCGAAAUGCGAUACUUGGUGUGAAUUGCAGAAUCCCGUGAACCAUCGAGUCUUUGAACGCAAGUUGCGCCCGAGGCCAUUCGGCCGAGGGCACGCCUGCCUGGGCGUCACGCAUCGCGUCGCCCCCUACACCAACCUGGUGCGGGGGCGGAUUGGCAUCCCGUGCCUCCGGUUGCCCAAAAAGGAUCCUCAUCGGCGAUGCACAACCAGUGGUGGUUGAAAGAUCAUUGUGUCCGCUUUUUGUGCUUCGACUCCCGUCGCAGCUUGGCAUCGCUACAAAACAAUGUGCUAGCGCGCUUCGACCGCGACCCAGGUCAAACGGGACUACCCGCUGAGUUUAAGCAUAUCA
rnacentral:rRNA from 1 species